rnacentral:rRNA from 1 species
GACGAACGCUGGCGGCGUGCUUAACACAUGCAAGUCGAACGGUAAGGCCCUUCGGGGUACACGAGUGGCGAACGGGUGAGUAACACGUGGGUGAUCUGCCCUGCACUUCGGGAUAAGCCUGGGAAACUGGGUCUAAUACCGGAUAGGACCACUGCCUGCAUGGGUGGUGGUGGAGAGCUUUUGCGGUGUGGGAUGGGCCCGCGGCCUAUCAGCUUGUUGGUGGGGUGAUGGCCUACCAAGGCGACGACGGGUAGCCGGCCUGAGAGGGUGACCGGCCACACUGCGACUGAGAUACGGCCCAGACUCCUACGGGAGGCAGCAGUGGGGAAUAUUGCACAAUGGGCGCAAGCCUGAUGCAGCGACGCCGCGUGAGGGAUGACGGCCUUCGGGUUGUAAACCUCUUUCAGCACCGACGAAGCGCAAGUGACGGUAGGUGCAGAAGAAGGACCGGCCAACUACGUGUCAGCCGCCGCAGUAA